GCAGUCUUAGAGUUUGAUUAACUUCUCUUCCAGUAGGUGAAGCUGUUCCCCCCGGACCAAACUUCUCAGUACGUGGGAACCAAUCACUGUGCAGCAGCUCCUCCUCCCAGACUGGGCGGGUCUCCAGUCCUGAGUCCCUAGGGCCUUCUCUUGUGUCUAGUCACUUCCCCACUUUUCCUCAAGCCAGGCCCCGCUCACCGGUGAUGCUCACCACAAUACUGGGUACACGCCAAGUCUGCUGUUCUCGGGAGCCCUGUUUUCAUGAACACUCUCCCUGUUUGCCAUUCCCUCAGACCCUAAGUUUGUAUAGCUUGGGGCUGAGAACCCUCAGCGAAUUUUGCCUGCCCUCUGGUAGCCACGCCCCCGGUAGCUGGUGCAAGAGACCUCAGUUGUCAGCACUGGUGGGAGCAGUAGCUGGGAGUUCCGCGCAGCGGAUCCCGCGCCACUCCUGAUUCCCUCAAUCUGGCUAUCGCUCUCAUGGGAGAGGUGGGAGGGGCCCUUAAGGUUUCUCCGCUGUGUGGAGAGGGAAGGCUAGGGGGUUACACACCUGUCACCGCCGGUUUCAGUGGAGUUAUCUCCUCCGCCGCAUUUUGGUGACGUCAGUUCUCUGCCAUGGUGUAUCCCAUGUAAAUUGCGACAGUUCGUUCCCUUUGCCGGGUGACCAAUGCAAUGGGUGGUUCCUGACUGGCUCUCCCAAGCCCCGUUUCAAUCCUGUGGCCACUGCCUAUGAAGGCUCGGUUGGCAUUAACCUCCGUAGGUUCAGAAGGGCCGACCAGUUGUUUCAGCAGGAUCGUUUAGUCCUGAGUCACAGCAGUUUGUCUGCGAGAAGCAGGUGAACGGGAGCUUGAAUUCAGCCGAUCCGGGCUUGGUGUGUGUUCUGAGAGGCCCAGACUGUUCGCCCCAGAUCCACGUCAGCUCAGCAUUGCCUAGUGAUCCUGAGCAAACAGCAUUUAGACGGUUUACGACUCCCUAUGCCCGCGCAGCUGAAGAGGUCAGAGACUUGAUCUCUCUGCCCCCGCUGCCAUGUUGGAUCUCCCCAUAUUAUUUUUAAUAAUAACUUCCCUGUCAUUUUCAAAAUGUUCAGAUGAAUACACAGAAUUCUUAGUUUAUGGGGAAUGUAUAGGAAAAGCCCAAAAUAUUGACAUAUGAUAUUUAAUAUUUCAUAAAAGUGGAAGAAAAUAAUGUUUUAAAAUAUCCUAAAUGCUAAUGCUCAUUAACUGUUCUUCAGAACAAAUAACUCUUUAGAAAGAAUAUUGUUAUGACAAUAAUUAAUACAAAAUUCCUGUAUCAUUG
rnacentral:lncRNA from 1 species